UGUUAGCACAGCUGAAAACGGUUGUUCUGAUUGAAGAGGCAAUCAAACUGGCCUUCAUUAGACUUGUUGAGUAUCUGGAGCAUCAGCAUUUGGAUCAUCAACAAAGAUUUUGUCUCCAGCUGGAGGGACCACAGACGCUUUGCUCUGACCACGCUGAGAAACUUUGGUCUGGGCAAACGCUCCAUGGAAGAGCGCAUCCUCGAGGAGGUCUCCCACACCUGCUCUGUGCUGGAGUGCAAUGCUGGCAGUUCGAUGGACCCUCAGCACCUGUUCCAUUAAGCAGCGUCUAACAUCAUCUGCUCACUGAUUUACGGGGAAAGGUUUGGAUACGACAACCCAGUCUUCCUCACCCUCAUCAGUAGGAUACAGGAUUUAACCAAAAUUGCUAUCGGACCUUGGGACAUGGCUCUCGUGUAUGCCUGGGAGAAGGGUUUGCGCGCACGGAGCUCCUUCUGAUACUGGUAACCUUGCUUCGACAUGUCCAAUUUGUCUCGCCUGAACAAGAAGGUGCGCCUGACUUCCGCCAGAUUUUUGGCAUUGCACAGGCGCAAAAACCCUACCGCCUGGGAGUGCGUCUGAGAAGCAGCCAGUGAUGGUGAACUACCGACAGUUUUCACUGAGAGGCAAUAUCACUAAAGCAGCACAUUAAACAAUGUUAUACCCUC